rnacentral:tRNA from 1 species
GGGCCCAUAGCUCAGUGGUGAGAGCAGGCGACUCAUAAUCGCCCAGUCGCAGGUUCAAGUCCUGCUGGGCCCACCG